UACGGAGGGUGCAAGCGUUAUCCGGAUUUACUGGGUUUAAAGGGUGCGUAGGUGGAUAAUUAAGUCAGUGGUGAAAUCUUCAGGCUUAACCUGGAAACUGCCAUUGAUACUAUUUGUCUUGAAUACUUUGGAGGUAAGCGGAAUAUGUCAUGUAGCGGUGAAAUGCUUAGAUAUGACAUAGAACACCAAUUGCGAAGGCAGCUUACUACAACAGUAAUUGACACUGAGGCACGAAAGCGUGGGGGAGCAAAACAGG
rnacentral:rRNA from 1 species